UAGGCCCGAAACGUCCGCCUUCGUGCUCCUCUGAUGCUGCUUGGCCUGCUGUGUUCAUCCAGCUCUACACCUUGUUAUCUCAGGAACUGCUCUUGCCAGCGGGUUUGGCUGUUCUUCGGGCCGGCACUGUCUCUCCCGAGUCGCGCCUCGGUUACGGUGCAGAAAGAGAGAGAGAGAGAGAGAGAGAGAAACUGACUGACUGGAGAGGUUGGAGCUGCGGCCAAGAAUGAGCUCGAUGCUCUGGCCGCGAACCGGCUUGUCCGUUUCAGCCCUGAGUCAGAGGGGGAAAAAAAGGGUUUCCUCUGCGGGUUUGCAGGAGAUGAGGCGAGGCGUGCACACUGUCGAUACGAUCAAGUCCACCUGGAGCUUGGCUCAUCCUCCUACACAAUGGUACAAAUCCCCACUCAUCCUCUUGCAGAACGUGGCACCGCUCUUGUUGAGUAUUUGGUCCAUGUGGCAAGUAACUAAUUGCAGCGAUUGCACAGGACACCGCUUGGCACUUAUGAGAAAUUCCGUGGAGAGCAACUGAUGAAGUAAAAACCAACCAGGACUGCAAUGAAACACCAAAGCCUAGUUAAUUCGGAAAAAAAAACUUUUGGGGUGUCGGGAAGGACGUAGUGCACGUAAUAGGUUAUAUGAUACCUUUUAAUGCAAAAAAAAUCCCUUCACGUAAACGGAAAAUGUAACAUAUAUAAACUAUAGGAGGGUAUUUCUAGGAUUCGGAUAGCUUCUCGACAACUGAAGGCAUUUCUACCAAAGAUAAAGCCAUAAAAAUUUGGGACACAGUUGGCUAUUUUAUUGCAAGAUCGAUAUAUUUCGCCUGUAUUACAACUGUAAUGUGUGUCACAAAUAAGUUUCUUUAUAAACAAUCCAGCAGCGGAGAACAUAUGGCAAUCGUUUUUCAGAGAACAUUUGAGUGAUUUGAUUGUUUAAUCGCAGCAAAACUUAUUUUCCUUUUAAUAGAAUGUUUACACAGAUGUUUAAUUUGGACAGGUACAUGAAUUGGAAGGUUUAGAGGGAUAUAGGCCAAAUGCAAGCAAAUGAAGCUCGUUCAGUUUAGGAAAGCUGAUCGGCCAGAACCUUUGGGUCAAAAGGUCGUUUUCCAUGCUAUAUGACUCUUAAGUACAGAGUUGCAUUCCAAAUGUAUACACAGGAAGCUUUAAUGAAACAAAUGUUGAUAUACGUAGUAAGGGUUUUGGAAGCUCCCCUUCAAGUACUGCUCCGGGGCUUGUUCACGAUAUAAGGAGUAUUCAUGACUUAGUCAAACUGGCUGAUAAUAGGGUUAGGGUUACGGGUCUAGGCCCGAAACGUCAGCCUUCCUGCUUCCCCUGGUGCUGCUGCUUGGCCUCCUGUGUUCAUCCAGCUCUACACCUUGUUAUCGCAGAUUCUCCAGCAUCUGCAGUUCCUACUAUCUCUGGUUGAUAAUUAAACCUGUUGAUGUUUAAAACGGGCCCUUAGCACUAGUUAAGAACAGGAAAAAAAAUCAUGAUCAUGUUAUUCUUGAUGCAGACGGAUGCCCUCAAGCUGUGACUUCCCUAACAAAGAAAAUAAACAAUGAGUUAAUUAUUUUCCAAAGUACAAGAUGGAUUUGCCAUUUUUUGUUUAAAAAUGACUUAUGAUGCUGUUUGAUUCUAAAUUAAAAUUCUAUGCCAAACAUCAACUCUUUAAUUUUACCUCUCUCAGUAACACUAGCAAUUACAAUGACCUUUUCCUAUCAAUUUACAUGGGCUUUCAAAAGGCCUUCAUUGUGGUACUUUCUAUCAAACUCUGUUGAGCAGAAUAAGAAUUGUCAGAUGAUACCAGUUCAGUUUUUGUGCCAUCUCCCAGGUCUCCGGAAUAACUGGUCAACUGUGUGGAAGGUUGCCUCCUGAUGGAAACUAAUGUUUUCCUGUUUUUCCUCACCAUCCUAAUUUCUGUCUCCACAAGAUUGUGCUCCAGAUGUAGUGUUUUUCUCAAGAACUUGUCCUUGAUGAUUUUGAUCAUGAGUCCACAUUGACUCUGCAGCCUGGAGAUCUGUAAAUUUUGUACUCUGGCAAUUAUUACAAUUCUGUGUAUGAGUGAAAUCGUACUUAUCAAUCUAAAGCAUAUAUCUUACAGCACAUAUAAAUGGACAUGAAAAGAGUAAGAAAUUGAGUGCAGCUUCCUUCCCCUUGGAAACUCAAAUAGAGCCAGACUACCUCAUAGCAUUAUAAAAUCAUAACUUUGUAGUGUCAGGUUAAUGUCAUCAUUCUUUUUCAAUAAAGAAUUUAUCUUAAUCCCUUUCUGGCCUCACUAUGAGCUUGUAAAUAUCUCAGUGAGUUAGUCUUGUGGGCAAGCUCACAAGUAUUUGAAGUAUUCACAAGGAAAGUGUGGGCCUUGCCUAAAAUGAUGAGGUUUGGAAUCCCAAAUAUAGAAGAUUUUCAAUGUGCAAUGACAGCUUCGGGCAUAUGACCACGUAGACGUUUUACCUCCAUCCACCCAGAAUAGUAAUCAACCACAAUUAAAAACAUCUUCUGUCUGGCUCAAAAAAAAUCAUUCCAAGAUGUUCCCACUGUCUGUACAGAAGUGAAGACAGCAACUGUAAUUCCCUUUGUUCUUACCAAUGGAUAGCACAUUAUUUCCGUUGGAGUUCUUUUUGAAUAAUUUUGGGGGCCUUGGCAAUUGAACAGAAUUGCAUGUUUUGGCAGAACACCUCCUGACAUCCACAUAACAUGAGUAUAAUCUUUGUAGUAUAUUGAGCCAGAGGACCAUUGGUAUGAUCAAUCUUACCUAAUAAAUCAAGAAGUUACUCACAACACCAAUAUGUUUCUUUGUCCAAAAUAUUACUUCAAAAGUGUUUGAGCCUGAGAGAUGACAUGAUACAACAUGUAUCAUUUGUAAAUUGUGAAGGGGUUCAAUGGGAAAGAUAUGGGAGUUUUCAAAAUUAAGGCCCAAAAUAUAAAAGUCAUGAAUAAAUCAAUAAGAAACUCAGGACAAACUUCUUUAUGUUGAAGAUAGCACGCAUGUAGAAUCCAUUGCCACAUAAGAUUGUGGAAGAUGGUGCGGAUGAAUUUAAAGGGACCUACAUUUAGCAUGAGUAAAUUUUUAAAAAGUAUACAUUGAUAGGGUGUAAUGAAGUGAGGUGGGAGGAGGAUCAUGUGAAGCAUGAACAACUGGAUUAAUUGGUCUGUUUCCGUUCUGUAAAAUUAUAAGUAACUUUGAAUGAUUGUGAAAUGUGUCAAGAAUGUAAAAGUUCUUUAUGCUAUGUUGCAGUUCCUCUUUAAAAAUAAUACUUUGUCAGUCAAGCUGCAAAUGAUUUUGUGAACCUGUUGUUCUCUUUGGGGCAUUGCCUUGCUUGAUGUCUCUCCCUUAUUUUGUAUGGCUCUUAUUAAAGUUUUUCUGUCACAUG